GUGGUACGUUAUUCAUUUUAAUGCGGUGACGCGCAUGUGACAUUAACGUUAAGCUCUUUACGCCGGGUCCAUCAUUAUAAAGAUACGGAUAGAUGUCGUUAGCUGCAUUUAAAGGAACAUGAUAACCAUUAGGUUUGACGGGCGUUGAACAUAUUUUAAUGCGUAUAAACGCGGCCGCAACAUGCAGUCGUUCGCUUCCGGGUCAAAAGGAAAAACACUAAUUCUCAGGGACGCGUAUAAAUAUUAAAAAUCCGACGAUAAGUAAGACAAAUACAAAGAGAUGGAAUUCGCUUAAAACGUUGAUGGCAGACAACCCAGCACAUUUAACGAAGUGACCUGCCCCUUCCAUUAUAGGUAUGUUUACGAAAAGGCUGCUGUCAGAAGUGGGAUUCGAACUCACGCCUCCGGGGGGAGACUGCGGCGAGCGACCGUCCAACAUUUCACGAUGUUGGAGGACGACGGCCAAUCAAAUCCGCAGCUCCAGCAUUCCCCCACCAAUCGCCUUCGCCCGGCUCCAACAUUUGACCAAUCGCGACGGAGAAAUGUUGGACGGAGCCGAGCGAAAUCCGAGAAAAGCCGAGAAGAUUUGCGGUGACGGUCGUCUGUUUUCGAAGCGGAGUUUGAGGCGAGUGACAGAAGUCGGACAACAAGUUAAAUGACGAGCAACAUCUUCCAAGUCCCACAAGGCGACGGCGGACUCAGAGUGGAUGUCCCGCCUGAGGAAGUUUGCCAGCAGUGGCGUCCAGCCUGCAGGUGAAGGAAACAGGCCAGCUCCCAGGCAGAAGAAGUGGUAUGUCCUCCAUCAGAUGGUAUGAGUACAGUCAGUAUAUUCACUGUAUACAGUAUAUUGUAUUCAUUGUUAUUUACUCUCACAAUACAUUUAACUCAUAAUUUGUAUAAAAUGCAGUAAAGGCCAUGUUCCUAUGAGUUGAUGAACAUGUCAUGAACACAUAAUUUGAAUUAGAUCUGUGUAACAACACAAAUGAAAAUCAGUGAUUUAGUCUGCGGUUGAUUCAAUCAAACAUGCAACUGUUAUUUUUAGAUCGAGAAAUGUCAGAUGCGGAGACCAGGACAGACGUCUUUAUUUAGUCAAGAGAGGCAGUGUGUGUCAUUUUCACACGCAGAAGGUAGCGCUAGUUGUUACAACACCAGCUCAUUGGGGAAAGGGGAAAGAACAGCUUUAUUUCCUUUCAGUUUACCAAGCCAAGAUUUGGUGGCGCUCAUGUUGCUGCUGCAAAGCCAAAUCUGAGCAGAGCCAGAAAAACAACAGAGGUAAAUGGAGAUCACAUUGGAACUGUUCAAAUUUAAGUUUGUUUGUACAAGUUACUCAGAUUGAAUUCUUUACAGACCCAAGUCACCAGCCCCACUGAAGCAGCAUUGCUGUCACAGUAAGUAACAAUUUAACUCAAACACAGGUAAAGUAUAUGUAUUUCUGUCCAUAUUUAUCUCAAGAUUAUUAAGAAUAUCAAAAAAAUAAACACUCAAAUCACAAAUGACACCUGACAGCUAAAUAACAUUAUUUCAUGUAGAGCAGCUAUAUGAAAUACCAAUGUAAUUUUUAUGUUGUUUAUAAUAUGAAUUUUAAUCUUUUCCAUGCCUUUACAGUCUCCAGACCCUUUGACAGAUGCUCCAGGUCCAGUGCCUGUCCUCAGUACCACAGCAGUGUGUGCCACCAUCACAGUAAGUAAUGCAACAUUUAAUAUCAUUCUCUGUAGAGCAUAAUCAGUCUUCUACCAGUAUCAAGUGUGUUUAUGCAUUAUGGGGUUUUUUUUUUUUAUCACUAAGGCUUGUGCAACCCAGGACAGAGACAUCACCUCAGCUGCCCCGUUUGUGGUCAGAGGGUUUGUCACCUGAAGACCACAAAUGGAUUGAGAAAUAUGUUUUCAAGUUGGGGCCCACAACUUGAAGCUCUGGUAGUAUCCACUACAGCCAAGUCACCUCUACGACCAGGCUCCUGCUCCAGACUGCAUUUUCGCCCACCCACUUCUUGUCUGGAUGCCCUACAAACUGUGGAAGGUGAGGGUGGUCUGUCCCAACCCUGCCUGUGGACCCCACCAACUCAAAGGAGUGGGACUGCAUAAGAGGGCACAUAAGGUCCUGGAUGUGGACAGGAUCUACAACAUGGUGACAGAGACCCUAACCUGCACCAAAUGUAGAGCCAACCCUGUGUCUUGGAGUCAGACUGUCCUGAAACAACUGGACUUGGUGCACAGGUUGGAAUUUCGGGUCAUCCUAACACAAAAGUUUGCUUGUGACAUCCGGGUGAUCCGACUUCUGCGGGAGAAAGGUCUGGGGAACAGCCCUACGCGGGUUUUGAAGCAACUCAGAGAGAACUACACAGAGGAAUGGCUUCACCGUGUGGCACGGUACACCACAGAGUGCGUGGACUUCCUCUAGCAGCCCGGACUGUUGCCCAUGGCAUUCCCUGAGCCUCCACAGCCUGCUGUGGUGCCGAGCUGUAAGUGGCCCCUCUCCGUUUACAGCCAGGACAUUCUGACGAGGCUGGGAGACAUCAAGGCCAGAAUCACUUCCAUCUAUGGCAACAUAUUAAAGAUGGAUUCCACUAAAAAGGUUAAACAAUCUUCUUUGCUUCAGAAAAUAGGCUAAGCUUGUCGGAACUGCCAAGGGCACAGCACUCUGGCUCACCUCCGAGGGAAAUGAGUAUGGUCAGAUACUGAUAUGUGUGGAGUGUGCAGUGGAGCUGGCCUGGACAUGAUGGCUGCCGAUCUGGUCAAGCGAUACCAGCAGGCAGGUGUGGAUCCCCCCCCGUCAUCCUAUAUGUGGACUGUGGCUGCUGUGCUGAGGCAGCGGAGACCAAGUUGAAGGCCAGAUUCAGCAGGUGGCCAGACCUGACAGUAAGGCUGGAUAUCUGCCACUUCAUGCGCCGACUUGCCCUGGGAUGCAUAACAGAUGCCCGCCAGCUGUACCCAGUUUUCAAUUUGCGCUUAUUAGCAUGUGUGUUUGAGUGGGAUGCAGCCGAUUUAGCCCUGCUGCGUGAAGCAAAGAAACAGCAGCUUCAGUCACAGGGCCCGCCUUGUCUCACUGAUGGUGACAUCAACAGACACCUGCGGGAGGAGGAACUGUGGUGAGGAGACCACCACUAAGCUGCUGGAGGAGCUGCUGUAGGGGCUGAUGGGUGGCAGUGGGGACAACUACCUUGGAGUUCCCCUGUUUGACAGGGAGAGGAUGCAGCACAUCUGGCAUGUCCAGAAAAAGCACAUCAAGUGCAUCCAGGAUCUGUCAGGUGUUGCUCUAUACACCAAAACAGGGGAGUUCACAAAGGGACGUUUGUGGCUACCAACAUACAGAUGUGCCAGAGGCUCGGCAUCUUUGGACUCCGUUCAUCUCCACCGUAACCGCUUCAUACCAGGUUUGUGUCUAUCAGACAUGUUGGGUCAUGUGCUGUAUAAUCCAAGAAUAUUUCAUAAUUUAAUGUAUGUUAAUGUCCUUCUGGAGAACAGUGCCAACAGCCUGGAUUUACAGGCAUAUUUGCAGGAGGGACUCCAUAGGUGGAACCAGGACCGUGGUAGUGCUGCCCUGUCUACUGCACCGUCACCUUUACGCAGCUACACGGGUGACCUGUUUCACUGUGUGAACAGGCACUAUAAGAAGCUGUUUGGCAAGAAGUUGGUGCCAGAGUUCUGUCCACCGUCACGCUACACUGGAGAGCUCAUAGUAGCUACAGUAUCUGUUCCAGUAGACGGGUCAGACGCUGCAGGAUAUGCACCCUGACUCAGAGGAGACUGCUGAGUUAACUGAACAAUAUGAGGAUGAUGUGGAAACAGAUGAGGGCUUCGCUGACAUCCCAGACGACCCCACAGUGGCGGACCUGGAGGUCCCUCAGGUUGCAGCGUCUCUCACUCCUGGUCCGUCAUCCAGUCUGAUGUCCACCGUCUCCACCUGGCGAUCACCACAUCUGGCAUGGCUCCUGGCACAUCCACCCUGAGCGUGGACACAUCCUCAGUGGUUUUCGGCACAUCCACCAUAGCUACUGCCCUGCCUCCUGGAACAUCAGUCCUGGCUCCUGGCAUGUCUUUCAUGGCCUCUGGUGCAUCCAUCAUGCCCUCUACUUCGUCCGCUGAGGCUGAAGUGGAUAUGCAGGCUGAAGAUGAAGAUAUGGCUGUUGAUGACUAAAAUGUUCCUGGAUACCAGCACGUGGACAGACUGGCUGAGUAUCUGGUGAAGCUGCGGGAGCAGACCUCUCUCUGUCUCACCAACCAGCAGACCAGAGCAAUCACAGCGCUGUGGGAGAAGCUGGACAAAGGUGACAAGCAGCAGGUGAUUUAUGCAGCACGACACCAGGGGAGACUUUUAAAUGGACGGUUCAGGACACCCAGCGACUGGCGAGCACCAGCUGUUUGCAUGUUAGGUGCAAGUAGUGCUCCUGCUCAGUGGACUAACUGCUGAUGGUUGGUGUCAAACAUUUUUAUUAGACUCUGUGAUCUCCACCAAGGCCCAGUGAGGGAAGGCAAGGGGGCCGACUCAAGGUGGUCCUGAAUUCUGAGGGACUACCACAAAAUCGGGCAGCUUAUUGUUGGCAACUCCCUGGUGAUGCAGGGAUCAGAGAUUCAGCUGGUAGAGGUGAACCAGGACACCCUCAUCCAGUGGCACAACAGUAGGCAGAACAGGCAGGAGCUCUCUGUGCUGCUUCAGGGUGCUGUGUGCCUUCAGCCCUCCAUGAGUCUGAGGAGUCUCUCCGGGAGGCAAGAGCUCUCUCUGCUGAGUCCAGGUCAGCUCGACAGGAGCACCAGUACCAGCUGCCAGAGAGCACAGCAGGUCAGGCACAACAGAGGCCGACAGCCUCUAGUCACCCCAUCCUGCCAAAGGCACCAGUGAAGAGGCUUGUGCUUGUCAUGCCCCCAGCACCUCAGAUCGCCACGGCAACAGGACAAAUUCUUCCUCAUUUUGUCACAGUGGCCCUUCCUGCACUGGUUCAGGGCACCAACCCUCAAAUAACUGAGCCCAACACCACAGCGGAGUCUGGACCUACAGGAGAGCAGUGAAGGCAAACACAUGCAAAAGGUGUGGCCAGUUCCGCACUGCUGACACGGGACACAGCCAGUACCCUGCCCUGCGUUCAAUACACUCACCAAACAGCAGUGGUUGGAGGAAAAAAUGCGGCAGAAAUUCUCUAAAUAGCGUGUAAUAUAUUGUAAAUGAAUAAUCCUUAAUUUGAGAUAUUCUUCAAGUAUUAAUAUAUUGUCCUAUUGUAUUGUCAUAGUUGUAUGAUAACUUUAUUUCUAUAUUUGAAAAAGAAGAGUUACAUAUAUUUUAAACAUUUGGUAAUAGUAAUUGACAAUUGUAUUGUAAAGUUUAGUUUAGUUUAGCUUAGUUGUUACUUAAAUAGUGUUUAUUGAAGUAUGGAUACUGCUGUGUGAUAAAUCUGUUUUUCUAUAUUUUGAUUAUUUAUUGUAUUUGUUGCACUUUUCAGGGUCUGCUGUAAUUAAAUCUUUCAAACGUU